rnacentral:rRNA from 1 species
GAUGAACGCUAGCUACAGGCUUAACACAUGCAAGUCGAGGGGAAACGAUAUUGGAAGCUUGCUUCCGAUAGGCGUCGACCGGCGCACGGGUGAGUAACGCGUAUCCAACCUGCCCAUCACUUGGGGAUAACCUUGCGAAAGUAAGACUAAUACCCAAUGACGUCUCUAGAAGACAUCUGAAAGAGAUUAAAGAUUUAUCGGUGAUGGAUGGGGAUGCGUCUGAUUAGCUUGUUGGCGGGGUAAACGGCCCACCAAGGCGACGAUCAGUAGGGGUUCCCGAGAGGAAGGUCCCCCACAUUGGAACUGAGACACGGUCCAAACUCCUACGGGAGGCAGCAGUGAGGAAUAUUGGCAAUGGACGAGAGUCUGAACCAGCCAAGUAGCGUGCAGGAUGACGGCCCUAUGGGUUGUAAACUGCUUUAU